ACCCGAUGAAGUGAGCUACACGAAAGCUUAUGCUCAAAUAAAUUUGUUAGCCUCUAAGGUGCCACAAGUCCUCCUGUUCUUUUUUCUGGUCUCUCUGGCCAGCAGAAGUUGGGCCAGUCAAAGCUAUUACCGUACGUCCCUCGCCCUGUCUCUCUAAUGACCUGGGAUCCACCCAGCUACAACAAUUAAAAAAAGAGAGGGGGGGUUGGACUAGAUGACCUCCUGAGGUCUCUUCCAACCCUAAUCUUCUAUGAUUCUAUGACACAGUCCGGGCCGACUGGGCCCCCGGCUCAGCCCUGAUCAGAACCAAAGAGCUCAGAUAAACCUCUCCUGCCGUCUUUUCGGCUUGUCAUCGGAUGGGAAUUUUUAAGAGAGCCAGCUUUUGCAACCAAGCGCUUGAGAAACUGAGGCUGAAACUGACCAGGGAUCACCUGGUGCCCCAGGUGCCUUGUCUGCUUUCACAGAGGGAAAGGCCCAGAAUAAACACGCCCCUCAGAAAGCUGUUAAAAUUCCUUCCGGUUUAAUCAUUUCAGAGGCCAGUUGCCCAGAGGCAGGAAAGGAAAUUGGGAUUCCAGGCAUGCCAGCGGGAACCCUGCGCCCCCACGGAUUCCCUGGGUCUGCCUGCACAGGGCAGGAUCAGGACCUUGGCAUUUGGGAUUGUGUUUGUUGGUUUCCAAUUCAAAGUGUAUGACUGGAUGUCUUUAAAGGUCCAGCUGACAGCCUGAUUCUGGGAGGGUCUGAUCCCCAGCUCCUAUGAAAGCCAUAGGAUCUCAGCACCUUUCAGGAAUGCACAUUCAUGUCCUUCACCAAGACUGCUUCUCAGCUCCCUUUGUUGUCACCAAUGGAGUAAAACAUGGCUGUGUUCUUGCUGCAACACUAUUUGGCAUCAGGUUUGCAGUUGUUAUAACAGAUGCAUUCAGAGACAUUGAUUGUGACAUUUAUGUACCGUACAGUGUGGAUGGAGGUAUCUUGAAUAUGCAUUGCCUGCCUGUGAAGACAAAAGUUAUGAAGACAAUUAUUCAUGAACUGCUGUUCACCGAUGAUUGUGCUUUUUUGGCCCAGGAACAUUCAGUUGCUCACUGACUGCUUUGCGUUUGCCACAAAAUGUUUUGGCUUAACUAUCAGCCUAAAGAAGACAGAAGUCAUGGUCCAGACUUAACUAGGCCGUACUGCAACUACUCCACUUGUGGCCAUCAAUGAGGUUGUUGACAAAUUUUGCUACCCAGGCAAUGUCAUUUAACAAGAUGCAAUGACUGACAACAGCAUUACCAAGCACAUUGGUGCAGCAGUGAUGACUUCAGAAAUCUUCAUCAUUGUUUCUGAAAAAACAGUGUCAAACUGUAAACACAAAUGGAUGUUAACUGUGUUGUUGUCAUCACCACACUUCUCUACUGCUGCGAUACGUGGACUACUUAUCAACACCAUCUAAGAUACUUGGACCAAUUCCACCUAUGAUGUCUAUGGUGGAUAAUGGGAAUAAAAUGGUAAGAUUUGGUUCCAAAUGUUGUCAGAAGUGUGGUGCUCUACUCUGUUCAAUGUUGAUAACCGUCAGCUGAAUGCAUGUGUUCCCUCUACGUGCUGCCCCAGAUCUGCAGAUCGCUGACACAGCAGACCGCAAGAGAACCCCCAAUGACCACAGACUCUGAGAAGCUAUGAAGGCACCCGGCCAGGCUUAUUGCCAAAUGAAACACAGUCUCUAGCUCCCUGGAUCAGAUGUCUACAGUUCUGCUAGUACAUAUGUACUCCCUGACAAUGGACCGGUUCAGUCAGUGGCGGGAUUUACCACUGCCCCCUAGGCCAGACAAAGACAUCCACUGAGGGAUGCAUUCUUAUACACAGAUACAAACAAGUUACACAUCGCUCCUGACGCAUAGAGGUGCAACCCCUCUACGUGUUAGGGUGCCGCCUCUCACAAAACAACUCUACCAUAUUACCUUCCUGCCCCUGUUUUUAGGAUAGGUCAGCCUGUUCCUGUUAUCUGUGGGGAAUGUGCUAGUACCGGAGUGUUCUGGUACCAUCGUGGCACGUGUUUCCAUAACUAGUGCCCAGUACCUAUUAGGUAUGUGUAUUUUUGCACUAUCAGCCCUCUUCUUGCCAGAUUCUGUGAGCAGGGCCUGCCUCUGGCUCAGAGCUUAACUUUGCUUUAUGUUAGCAAAGUCUUGACCAUUACUUUAGUUCAGGCCUUAGGCU